rnacentral:rRNA from 1 species
AGAAUCAACGCUGGCGGCGUGCCUAACACAUGCAAGUCGAACGAGAAAGUGGAGCAAUCCAUGAGUAAAGUGGCGACCGGGUGAGUAACACGUGACUAACCUACCUCCGAGUGGGGAAUAACUCCGGGAAACCGGGGCUAAUACCGCAUAACAUCGCAAGAUCAAAGCAGCAAUGCGCUUGGAGAGGGGGUCGCGGCUGAUUAGCUAGUUGGCGGGGUAACGGCCCACCAAGGCGAAGAUCGGUA